CAUUUGGCUGUAAAUAGAAUAACGUUUGCAGAAUUGACAAAAAAUAUAUAUUUCAGAAAAUAUGCUGAUGAAGAAAUAUUUGCCAAGAUGAAUAAAAUACGCGAAAAAAGCCUUUGAAUAACUUCAGCAGUGACAGAAAUUGAUGCAUUCAAAUAAGAGAUAGCGUCAUCUGGUUUCAAGAAAGGCUGUGUCUAUGUUCCGGAGCAAGUCGUCAAUCUAGAAGGCCAAGUGUCGUUCGCCAUCCCUUAAAGGGAUUUUGCAAGCAGAUCCCUACGGCUAGCCUCAAACCUCAAACAGAUAUCUAAUGACAUAUUCUUGGCUCAACAACUUACACAAAGCUUUUAGAGGUUAAAAAAUCCCGUCGUCCUGGUAUAUGUAUAAUCUACGCAAUCAUGGUUAGCAAUUAAAAGCCUCCAGCAGUUUUGAAGUGGAAGCAAUUAAGGAGCAGGAAAUCAAAGACACAUGGGUUUAAAAUUACAACGACGCAGUUCUUAAUAUUUGGAAAAAGAAUACUUGUAUGCCAUAUAGUUGUUUCUUGAG